rnacentral:rRNA from 1 species
UACGGGGGGGGCAAGCGUUGUUCGGAAUUACUGGGCGUAAAGGGCUCGUAGGCGGCCAACUAAGUCAGACGUGAAAUCCCUGGGCUUAACCUGGGAACUGCAGUCGAUACUGGCGGACUAGAGUACGGUAGAGGGUGGCGGAACUCCGGGUGUAGCGGUGAAAUGCGUAGAUAUCAGGAAGAACACCCGUGGCUAAGGCGGCUCUCUAGUACGGUACUGACGCUGAGACGCGAAAGCGUGGGGAGCAAACAGG